rnacentral:rRNA from 1 species
ACGGUACCGUAAGAAUAAGGACCGGCUAACUCCGUGCCAGCAGCCGCGGUAAUACGGAGGGUCCGAGCGUUAUCCGGAAUUAUUGGGUUUAAAGGGUCCGCAGGCGGGCCGGUAAGUCAGAGGUGAAAGUUUGCGGCUCAACCGUAAAAUUGCCUUUGAUACUGCUGGUCUUGAGUUGCGGUGAAGUGGCCGGAAUUCCUGGUGUAGGGGUGAAAUCUAUAGAUAUCAGGAAGAACACCUAUUGCGAAGGCAGUCUUCUGGCAGCUAACUGACGCUGAUGUACGAAAGUUAGGGUAGCAAACAGGAUUAGAGACCCUGGUAGUCCUAACCGUAAACGUUGUAUACUAGGUGGUUGAAGUAUUGAUCCUUUGACUGCCGGAGCUAACGCAUUAAGUAUACCGCCUGGGGAGUAUGCCGGCAACGGUGAAACUCAAAGGAAUUGACGGGGGCCCGCACAAGCAGUGGAGCAUGUUGUUUAAUUCGAAGAUACGCGAGAAACCUUACCAGGUCUUGACAUAUACCUGAAUGGUGUGGAAACACAUCCGCCCCUCGGGGCAGGUAUACAGGUGCUGCAUGGUUGUCGUCAGCUCGUGCCGUGAGGUGUUGGGUUAAGUCCCGCAACGAGCGCAACCCUUAUUCUUUGUUGCUAACAGGUUAAGCUGAGCACUCUAAGAAGACUGCCGGUGACAAACCGGAGGAAGGUGGGGAUGACGUCAAAUCAUCACGGCCCUUAUGAUCUGGGCUACAAACGUGCUACAAUGGGCGGCACAAAGAGUUGCGAUACCGCGAGGUGGAGCUAAUCUCAAAAAACCGUCCUCAGUUCGGAUUGGAGUCUGAAACCCGACUCUAUGAAG